GGCGGCAGGCAGAAGCCGGGGGACAGGCCCGGCCUUGCUCGGCCGCGGCCGGCGGGGAGCGGCCCGUCCGCCCCGCGGUCGCGCUGCGCUGGGUGCCGGAGUCGGGGCCCGCGGAGGGACGCACCUUUUCGUCAGCGGCGAAGACGGUGUGCGCUGCUCCUGGCCUCGCCCGCGGGCUUUAUUGCAGAGGGCUAAGCCGAGCAAGGCACGUUCUCCUUCAUGUUCUUGUGUGAUGAGUUUUCUCUUUCCCGUGCCACAUGAGCGUGCUUCAUAUAAGAGCCUCGGACUUAGCGAAGCGGGUUGUUAGAGAGGACAAGCUAGAGAGGAGGAGUGUGACUGCUGUCCUAAAGAAAGAAAGCAGGGGAGAACGCUAGAGUCAGAGGACUUGAUCUGCAAAAGAGAACAGUUGCCCGUAUCAGAUAACAUCAUUUUAUGGAAAAGGAGAGCUACAGCAAUUUGGAACUAUAAUUUAACUCGGGAUUUAUAUUGGCGAGCUCUAUGGAAGAACUCACACAGGGAUGUGCUUCAGUGAAAGUGAAAACUUCUGGCAGGAAAGGAAGGAAACAAACUGCAAAAUAACAACGUUCCAAUCCGUCCGAAAUCUAAUCACCUAAGAUGCCACUGGUAUCCAGACCACUUAAAAGAUUAGGAGUAACAGAUUAUGUUGGUUGUGCAUCAUUGCGUAUCUAAUGCUCUGUUCCUCAAGAGUUCUGUGGACAGAACCCUAUAAAUGCAAUGAAUUCUACAGAAAUAUACAGGAAUUCCUUAUGUUAUCAAAAUUCAACAUUUGGAUAGAUUCAGGCUUCGAUGGACCUUCAACACUCAUCAAGUUUAGAAUUCUGACUGAAAGAGCACACCAUCAACUAUAAGCCAUACCUAACAGAGAUUGUGGAAGUCUCAUCUGCAUUAGAACUCCCAACAUUACAGCUUAACUAAUUAUACUAUGCGUUUUUACAUUUAUCUGUCUUUUGUAAUAAGCAAUUUAAACAUAUAUUCUAUAGCAGAAUACAUUAUUCUCCCAUAUCCUUCUUCAUUAGUCUGUCCAAAGUUGUUCACAGCUUUCAACAAGCACUAUUCCUGCUACACUGAUUAUUAAUAAAUUCUUUCAGUGGCAUCUACGCCCCCAAACUGUCAGCAUCUCAGGUUCACUUCUUAUUUCCAGUGAAGUGUUCAGUCGCCUUCUACUUUUGUCUUGGCCAAAUGACCAUAGACAGUCUCCAUGUAUUUGCAUGUUAAUACAAUUGUUGUAUUAACAUGCAAUUGUAAUUGUCAGCCUGUGGCAGGUGGCAAACUGUUCUUAAGAAGAUUGAAUUAUCAUUUAUCAUUCUCUCUUAGUUUUUUCAUUUCACGUUUUCACAUCAUGUCAAACACAAAUACGCGUAGGGUGAACUAACACAGACAUAACUGCAGAAUCCUAAAUUAAAUAGGGAUGUCAAACAUUGAGGAAACUAAACAUCAACCAAAAUAAUGGACAAAACCACCGCUAACUGUACGUGAAGCAUGAUUUUUUACAACUUUGCAACAAUUUCCCUUCAGAGUUUGUUGGCUUUUUUAAGCACGUUGCAAAACUUGCCAUCUUUGCAGAAGAGUUAGUUUUGCUUUCUUGCUACAUCUGUCCUCCACAUUUUGAGGUUAAAACACAGAGGAGGAAAUAGAUUUUGUUUCAUUUUCAUACUCGAGCAGCUAAAAAUGAUAGAGGCAAUUUUGUUGUAAUUCCUUCAAAACUUCUAAUCUUUGGUGUUAGAUUUGUUGUUUUGAACUGAAAUGGAAAUUGAAUCACUUUUUUUUUUCGGGAGAGGCUGGGAAUUAUUAGCAAAGCUUUCAUGAAUAAGAAUGAGGCUAAGGAAGUUACUCAUUUAAGUCGAAUCUAUGAAGUUAGACCCUCUGCACGUAUUUCACUUUUCCUUCUAUUUUUGCAGUAUUUCAGGAUGUAAAAUUCUUAAUGUUUAAAGAUAAUCACACAUAUUAUAAUAGUUUUCCUAAUUUUCUUCAUAUAAGCCUAGCCUUAGAGAGAAACGUGUAUAUCUUGGUUAUAAAACAGGCUUUUCCUUCAAAUACAUGGCACAAACAACAGAAGAAGAAACCUUUUCAUUAUUUUUAGUCAUUCUCUGAAACCAGUUUUCUUGAGUGAUACUGAGUGAACACUCCUUUCUUGAAGGACAAAAAAAGGAACAAACCCAUGCAAAUAUGGCUUUGCAUAGGAUUCAGCACCUGAAAGGACUCGAUUCUAAUUCAUCUACUGUGCAAAAAAGGAAUCCUCUAACAAAAAAGCUAUCUCUUGGGACCCAACAUCUUUCUCCUCUAGACUUUCAUUUGGUAAGUCUGGUCCCUGCAGACACAGUGGAGAGCACCUAACUACAAGAUAAUGCAAGGGGAUAAAACAAUGCUGUGAAAGACUGCUUUUGGGGCGUAUAUGAAUCACCAGAAGCUACAUUCUACCGUAAACGCUGUUCUUAGUGGAAGAUGUACUUCUUUGAUACUACCUUCUCUAAUGGUCCCUGUGUUCUUGGAACAGGCAGUUGCCUCCUGUGAACAGCAAUGACCAUGCCAGUCUCCAUACGGUGUGCAGCUUGAUGAAAUGUUCCAACCCUUUGAAUCCUGUCAUCUAUGAGGCUCAGCACAGGUUGAAGUGGUUCUGAUCUGGAGGUGAGUACAUUAAUUUCUUGCCAAGUUAGUUGAGUCAGAAUUAAGUAGCAGCAUGGGGUUUCCUUUUAAGGAACAUAUGCCUUUCUCCUAUUAUAGAAUAAGGGCUAGCAUGCAGCCAAAAGUUAUGUAGACGGAAAAGUAGGCAGGCAAGUGCAAACUAUUGUGUUAACCAUAGAACUUUUUGAAAAUGAAUUUUGAAAUAUGAUUUAUUAAUAGGAAAUGGCUUAGCAUAAAUGGCACUACAGGGAACCACAAAUUUACUGUCAUUCUGUGACUUUCAGAGUCUGUUUGCUUAGUGUAGGAGUAAAUGGAUAAUGUAUGCCACCACUAGCACCAUCCGGUGAAGAAAAGAAUUAGUAAGAAAAGUCUGAGUUUCUCCUUCCUAAAGAAAAUCUGCAAACAGAACAAAACAAAACAAAAUUAAUAAAAUCACAACCUGAGUCAAAGGAAAAACCUCAAAAAGUAGACAGUGCAAACUCCAGCUUGCAGAGCAUCAGUGCAUCUGCAGACAAAGCUCUCAGCGAUGGUAAUAGCGCUGGGGCCUUCUGAACUUCAUCCGCACAGGCGUCCAUUGAGUUAUGCACCCACUCAUUUUAUUUUCUAAUGAAAUGCUACUAGCAUGGUUUGGGUUUUUUUUUUUUUCACCCAAAACUAUACCCUCUUCAGAGCUGGAUAUCCUUCCUAUGUUUAAAUCAUGCCUGAACACAAUGCGAUCUGAUUUCAUAGGAGCUUUGGGGUAUACUGUUAUACAAAUGGGAUAUAUAUUUCUAAGAAGAAGCAGCCAAAGCUGUGCCUUCUUGGGUUUACCUGUCACCAGGAAAAUAGUUUAUAACUCCGACAAGAACAUCUUACUUGAAAAUCCCUUGGAACUAGGGAAGUCUACUAACGUGAAAACCUCUCGUAACAGUUUUUUGGGGGCACAGGGUAUUUUGGAAAAUCUGAGCAAAAUUACCUCAAGUAUUCUUACGUAAGUCAGAAAUGGAAAACAGCCCACUUCUCUUAUAUUUCUGCAUUCUGCAUUCAGCUCUGGAUUUUCCAAAAAUUCAGAGGAAUUUAGAAAUUGAUCAGAAGGAUUCUAAACCAGAUUAGAAGUUUCCAGACGAGAUUCAUAAAAAUACCGCCUCCACAGGACUUCACCUUGCACAGUGUUCAGGACUGCACAAUGAUUUGAGUGUGCCUGGGAUCAGUUUGUGGGAAGUAAGCUCGCUAUUUGAAAUAGAGAUAUUGUCAUACAUGUACAGAUACUAAUUUUUUGUGCUUCACAAUGUCUGUGGAGAGGGAACAGGGAAAUUCCUGUUAAAGAUCUGUUAAAGAAAAUUUCAAGUUAAGGUUUCUAGAAGUUAAAUAUGUACUGAUUAACAGUAUCUGAUUGUAAGAUGCAGUGAACUGCAUCUGUGUCAAGGCUCUUUUGCUUUGGAUUAUUACUAAAAGCUAACAUUUCCGAACUUGUUUGUCAGCACUUAGCUGUAUCUGUGAAAGUCAGGAAGCUUCAAAAAUCAAGGUUUCUGUAACUUCAUUUCAACCAUAUGGUACUUUCUUAUCCUGUUUUGUUUUUUUUUUCUUCAAAUUUAACCCUAGUAUGUUCCUGUUAUUUAAUUUGUCGUAGCCAGUGUGACAGGACAUGAUUAUCACACAGCUAGCAAUUAAAAGGCAAAAAGACAUGAAAACAAACUUCUGGUGAAGGUGAGGGUAGCUAAAUCCCUUUAAGGUCAACUGCUGAAUUUUUGGAAUUUCCUGAUAGGAGAGUUCAACCUUAGCAAUAUUUUUAACCAGUUUUUGCACUUUAUAGGUAUGAGUAAGAUACAAUUACUAGGCUAUUUGAAUGCAAUAUGGAAAUUAAUGUCGUAAAACUGAAAGAAGUUUAUCUUGUACAUUUUCUUCUCAGUUUUACCUCUGGGUGCUGAUACAAAGUAAUAGUAAGUUGUAGUUAGGUUCAUAGUCCUGGAACAGAAUUUACAGAAUUUAACUUAAAAUCAGAAAUUUAUUUCAGUUUGAAAUACUAUUACAAAAAUAUGUGUUGUACUGAUUUUUCACAAGUGCUAAGUACGGACAGGUACUGUAUGAGUCAGUAUGAGAUGCUCUAGGUUAUCAGUAUUUCUGAAAAAUCAACUUACGUCAUCAAGUUACGGAGGCAUCUAAAGAUCAAUGCUGGUAUCAAAUGUGCACACUGUGGCCAAACUGUAACAUCAAAACAUUUUAAGUUAAAAUU